CCUACGGGAGGCAGCAGUGGGGAAUAUUGCACAAUGGGGGAAACCCUGAUGCAGCGACGCCGCGGGAGUGAGGCAGUAUUUCGGAAUGUAAAGAGCUAUCAGAAGGGAAGAAAAUGACGGUAACUGACUAAGAAGCCCCGGCUAACUACGUGCCAGCAGCCGCGGUAAUACGGAGGGGGCAAGCGUUAGCCGGCUCUCCUGGGUGUAAAGGGAGCGUAGACGGCUAAUCAAGUCAGAAGUGAAAACCCAGGUCUCAACUUUGGGACUGCUUUUGAAACUGAGUAGCUAGAGUGCAGGAGAGGUAAGCUGAAUUCCUAGUGUAGCGGUGAAAUGCGUAGAUAUUAGGAGGAACACCAGUGGCGAAGGCGGCUUACUGGACUGUAACUGACGUUGAGGCUCGAAAGCGUGGGGAGCAAACAGGAUUAGAUACCCCUGUAGUC
rnacentral:rRNA from 1 species